rfam:Ipomoea nil DNA, scaffold: scaffold0415, cultivar: Tokyo-kokei standard.
GACUCCAUGGCCCAAAGGAUAAGGUGCUGGUCUACGAAACCAGACAUUCUGGGUUUGAUCCCCAGUGGGGUCG